rnacentral:rRNA from 1 species
UACGUAGGCAGCGAGCGUUGCUCGGAGUUACUGGGCGUAAAGGGUGUGUAGGCGGUUCUUUAAGUUUGGUGUGAAAUCUCCCGGCUCAACCGGGAGGGUGCGCCGAAUACUGAGGGACUAGAGUACGGGAGAGGAAAGUGGAAUUCCUGGUGUAGCGGUGAAAUGCGUAGAUAUCAGGAGGAACACCGGUGGUGUAGACGGCUUUCUGGACCGUAACUGACGCUGAGACACGAAAGCGUGGUAGCAACAGG